GACGAACGCUGGCGGCGUGCUUAACACAUGCAAGUCGAACGGAAAGGCCCUGCUUUUGUGGGGUGCUCGAGUGGCGAACGGGUGAGUAACACGUGAGUAACCUGCCCUUGACUUUGGGAUAACUUCAGGAAACUGGGGCUAAUACCGGAUAGGAGCUCCUGCUGCAUGGUGGGGGUUGGAAAGUUUCGGCGGUUGGGGAUGGACUCGCGGCUUAUCAGCUUGUUGGUGGGGUAGUGGCUUACCAAGGCUUUGACGGGUAGCCGGCCUGAGAGGGUGACCGGCCAUGUGGGGGAGGAGUUACGCCCCGGACCCCUAGGGGAGAGAGAGGGGGGGAAUUUGGAAAGGGGGGCGGAAGCCUGUAGCGGCAGCCCCGGGUGGGGGAAGGGGGCUUUGGGGUUGAAGCCCGUUUCCGCCGGGGAGGAAGGGGGGGGGACGGUAGGGGGUAAAGAAGCCCGGACUAACUACGCG
rnacentral:rRNA from 1 species